rnacentral:rRNA from 1 species
UACAGAGGGUGCAAGCGUUAAUCGGAAUUACUGGGCGUAAAGCGCACGCAGGCGGUUGGUUAAGUCAGAUGUGAAAGCCCCGGGCUCAACCUGGGAAUUGCAUUUAAAACUGGCCAACUAGAGUACGUGAGAGGGGGGUAGAAUUCCAAGUGUAGCGGUGAAAUGCGUAGAGAUUUGGAGGAAUACCAGUGGCGAAGGCGGCCCCCUGGCACAACACUGACGCUCAGGUGCGAAAGCGUGGGGAGCAAACAGG